GCUGACCGGACAAUCGCUUGAAAUACAGAGGAAAGUCCGGGCUUCACAGGGCAGGAUGCCGGAUAACGUCCGGUGGAGGUGACUCUAAGGAAAGUGCAACAGAAAAUAUACCGCCUGAUGAAGACAGGAGGGGCCCACGGAUGUGGGAAGAACCUGUCUUCACCGCGAGACCGUAUUCUGCGUAGCAGAAUCCAGUUGUCGAGCGUCAUAUCAGGUAAGGGUGAAAUGGCAGUGUAAGAGACUACCGCCCGGAUGGUAACAUGCGGGGCAGUGUAAACCCCAUCCGAAGCAAGACCAAGAAGAAGCUAUACGGUUGCCCGCCGUGCUUCGGGUAGGUCGCUUGAGGUCGUCGGUAACGGCGAUCCUAGAUAGAUGAUUGUCGCGGAGAGAUCCGUACAGAACCCGGCUUAUGGUC
rnacentral:RNase_P_RNA from 1 species